UACGUAGGUGGCAAGCGUUGUCCGGAUUUACUGGGCGUAAAGGGCGUGCAGGCGGUUUGUUAAGUGCAGGGUGAAAGCUCCCGGCUCAACUGGGAGAGGUCCUUGCAUACUGGCAGACUUGAGGGAGGCAGAGGAAAGUGGAAUUCCCGGUGUAGUGGUGAUAUGCGUAGAUAUCAGGAGGAACACCGAUGGCGAAGGCAGGUCUCUGGGCUGACACUGACGCUCAUGCACGAAAGCGUGGGGAGCAAACAGG
rnacentral:rRNA from 1 species